rnacentral:rRNA from 1 species
GAUGAACGCUGGCGGCGUGCUUAACACAUGCAAGUCGAACGAUGAAGCCCAGCUUGCUGGGUGGAUUAGUGGCGAACGGGUGAGUAACACGUGAGUAACCUGCCCUUAACUCUGGGAUAAGCCUGGGAAACUGGGUCUAAUACCGGAUAGGAGCGUCCACCGCAUGGUGGGUGUUGGAAAGAUUUAUCGGUUUUGGAUGGACUCGCGGCCUAUCGGCUUGUUGGUGAGGUAAUGGCUCACCAAGGCGACGACGGGUAGCCGGCCUGAGAGGGUGACCGGCCACACUGGGACUGAGACAUGGCCCAGACUCCUACGGGAGGCAGCAGUGGGGAAUAUUGCACAAUGGGCGCAAGCCUGAUGCAGCGACGCCGCGUGAGGGAUGACGGCCUUCGGGUUGUAAACCUCUUUCAGUAGGGAAGAAGCGAAAGUGACGGUACCUGCAGAAGAAGCACCGGCUAACUACGUG